rnacentral:rRNA from 1 species
UACGGGGGAGAGCAAGCGUUGUUCGGAUUUCACUUGGGGUACGGUAAAGGGCGCGUAGGCGGCCACCGCAAGUCGGAUUUGUGAAAGUCUACCCGGGCCUUAACCCCGGAAACGGGUACAAUCGAUACUGCGGGGCUAGAGUGCAGAAGGGGCAAUGGAAUUCUCGGUGUAGCGGUGAAAUGCGUAGAUAUCGAGAGGAACACCUGCGGCGAAGCGGGUUGCUGGCUGACACUGACGCUGGAGCGCGAAAGCCAGGGAGCAAACGGG